rnacentral:lncRNA from 1 species
AUGAUAAACAAACUUGUGGAUUUAGGAACUGCCCAUCUAUUCAUGCGGAUGCAGGAGAAAAACAGGGGAAAGUGCGGGAACCUUUUGAAAACAGCAACCAAGAGAAUUGUCCAUUUGCGGUUUAAGCUGCAACUUUUGUUCCAGCCACACAGAGACUACCACAGCUCUGGUGUCAGGAGUCAACAACAGGCGCAGUUAGACGAGGUCAUGCUGUCAGAACAUCUGGGGAACUUGAACAGCUUUGGAUCGGUUGCAGAGUCAGCAAGACAACAUUUGGUUGUGUCUGCCAAUCGUCUCCUGCGGUUUGAGGAUGAAACAGAAAAAGAGGUGGAGACUCGUUAUUUGGAACGUUGGAGCCAAAGGAGACAGGAAAUGCAGCGGAGAGCAGGAGUCCUGGUGUCCAAACCCGACUUAGAGAGUUUGAAAGCAGGACUGGAGCUCAGACAGGGGAAGUCUCCUGCUGUCGGGAGGCUGAGAGGACAAACAGUGAUGAGAGAAUUGGAGAGACAGAAGAGCCUAAACAGGAAGCAACUGAGGCUGCGGACAGAGCCGCUCAGAGAGACCUACAUCGGCUGUGUCACGCCUUCUGACACAGGGAGACAAGGAGAAAAGACUUGUCGGGAAUCGUGUGCCCAAGUGAGACAAAGGACCACUCACAGUGAAAUGUUUGGAUCUCCGCAGACCGCCUCACAACCUCUUCUACUCAUAGAUCCACCAACAGUCCUUCUAAAACAUCAGUGA